rnacentral:lncRNA from 1 species
CGGCAAAUUUGGAGUGGAGGACAAAGUUUCUUUUGUUCCAUGUUCAGAACGGUGAUCCGCGGCAUUCCCACCAUAGGCCAGUCAUCAUUACGACUGAAAGAGAAUACCAGUUGUACAAAGAAAUAAGGUGUUUUUCUUUGAAGCCAGCUGGCUUGAGGAGAAUUGUGAGGAGGUGGUCAAGGAAGGAUGGGAGCAAGGAGAGUCUGAGGGCCUAGUGAAGAUAGAUCAGCUGAUCGGGAGAGUAGCAGGAAACCUGUCUUGGUGGAGCUCGAAUGUAUUAUGGGGGUUGG